AGGAUCCGAGCGUUAUCCGGAUUUAUUGGGUUUAAAGGGUGCGUAGGCGGCAUGCUAAGUCAGGGGUGAAAUUCGGCAGCUUAACUGUCGGCGUGCCUUUGAUACUGGCGUGCUUGAAUGCGGAUGAGGUAGGCGGAAUGAGACAAGUAGCGGUGAAAUGCAUAGAUAUGUCUCAGAACACCGAUUGCGAAGGCAGCUUACUAAGUCGUGAUUGACGCUGAUGCACGAAAGCGUGGGGAUCAA
rnacentral:rRNA from 1 species